CACAGACACACAUAUAUAUGCAAACACAUAUACUUAUUUAAUCCUCACAAUGACCCUAUGAAGUAAGUAUCCUAAUCUCCAUUUUAUAGUUGAGGAACUGAAGACACUAACAGGUGAAGAAAAUUGCCCAAAGUUGAUUAGCUGUUGAGUAGUAGAGCUGGGAUUCAAAUUUUUAAGUUGGCCCUAGAGUCCAGACACUCAAUGACUCUUCUACAUAAGGCAAGAAUAAGGGAGUGGAUAUACUAUGAAGAGGAAACAGCAUAAUCAAGGACCCACAGGCAAGAAACUAUAUGAAGAGUACACGGAGGAGUAAGUGGGAAGCAGACAGUGGCAAGAAGUGAGCAUGGAUAUACAGCCUAGCUUGCAACAAUGUUGAGAGAAUUAGCGUGUAAAGAGCCAAGCAUAGUACCUGACAUAAGUUCAGUGCACGUCAGGCAGCUCUCUACCAAAUGGUGACUCAAGAACC
rnacentral:lncRNA from 10 species